GACGAACGCUGGCGGCGUGCUUAACACAUGCAAGUCGAAAGAUGUGGAGAAAGGGUGAGUAAUACGUGGGUACCCUGCCAUCCAUUUUGGGAUAAGCCUUGGUAACGGGGUGUAAUACCGAAUACAGGGGGAUGGGCUCUCGGUCUAUCAGGUUGUUGGUGGGGUGAUGGGCAACCAAGGCGGUGGCGGGUAGCCGGCCUGAGAGGGGGACCGGCCACCUGGGGACUGAGAUAAGGCGAAGAGUCGUACGGGAGGCAGAAGUGGGGGAUAUUGCAAAAUGGGCGAAAGCCUGAUGCGGCGACGCCGCGUAGGGGAUGAAUGCUUUAGGGUUGUAAGCCUGUUUCGCAAUCGAACGGGUAGGUGGAGAAGAAGCGCCGGCUAACUACGUGCCAGCAGCCGCGGUAAUAC
rnacentral:rRNA from 1 species